rnacentral:rRNA from 1 species
AACGUAGGAGACAAACGUUAUCCGGAGUUACUGGGCGUAAAGGGCGUGCAGGCGGUCUGUUAAGUUCGGCGUGAAAGCGCCUGGCUAAACCGGGCGAGGUCGUCGGAGACUGGCAGACUAGAGGGUGAUAGAGGCGGGUGGAAUUCCGGGGGUAGUGGUGAAAUGGGUAGAGAUCCGGAGGAACACCAGUGGCGAAGGCGACCCGCUGGGUCACACCUGACGCUGAGACGCGACAGCAUGGGGAGCGAACGGG